GGCUCACCAAGGUUGUGACGGGUAACGGGGAAUCAGGGUUCGAUUCCGGAGAGGGAGCCUGAGAAACGGCUACCACAUCUAAGGAAGGCAGCAGGCGCGCAAAUUACCCAAUCCAGACUUUGGGAGGUAGUGACGAGAAAUACCGGAGUAGACCAUAAAUUGGUUCACUAUCGGAAUGAACGUAAUUUAAUACCUUCGAUGAGUAGCAACUGGAGGGCAAGUCUGGUGCCAGCAGCCGCGGUAAUUCCAGCUCCAGUAGUGUAUAUCAAAAUUGUUGCGGUUAAAGCGCUCGUAGUUGGAUUACAAAAGCUCUAUGACGGCCAAGUCAAAAGUGUUUGGUCGUUGUGGGGUUUUUUUAUCGCGAGAGCCGUAUGUGGGAUUAAAUUCUUGUGUGCGGUCACUUGCGAAAUGUGCCUUGAAUAAAGCACAGUGCUCAAAGCAGGCGUAAGCUCGAAUGUAAUAGCAUGGAACGAAUAUGUUGAUCGUGUCGACUGUUGGUUGUUGACAUUGGUCUCGAUUAAAAGGGACAUUUGAGGGCGUUAGUACUUGGUGGCGAGGGGUGAAAUCCUUAGACCCAUCAAAGACUAACUAAUGCGAAAGCAUUCGCCAAGAGUGUUUUCAUUAAUCAAGAACGAAAGUUGGAGGUUCGAAGACGAUCAGAUACCGUCCUAGUUCCAUACAGUAAACUAUGCCAACAUGGGAUCAGCCCGGAGCUAUCCAGGUUGGGCCCUCUGUGAAAACAAGUGUUUCGGCCUCGGGGGGAGUGCGCACGCAAGUGUCAAACUUAAAGAAAUUGACGGAAUGGCACCACCAGGAGUGGAGCCUGCGGCUUAAUUUGACUCAACACGGGGAAACUCACCAGGUCCAGACAUUGAUAGGAUUGACAGACUGAGAGAUCUUUCAUGAUACGAUGAUUGGUGGUGCAUGGCCGUUCUUAGUUGGUGGAGUGAUCUGUCAGGUUUAUUCCGGUAACGAGCGAGACCACGAUCUUUAAUUGAUUACGGCCAAAUUGUCUUGGUCGAUCUUAAAGAGACAACCGGAGUUAAGCCGGGGGAAGCGUGGCAAUAACAGGUCUGUGAUGCCCUUCGAUGUUCUGGGCUGCACGUGCGCUACAAUGGCAGUGACAACAAGUGCCUGUUCUGAGAGGAAUGGGGAAUCUUGAAAAUCACUGUCUUGCUUUGGAUUGAGCCUUGUAAUAAUUGCUCAUGAAAGAGGAAUUCCUCGUAAGCGCGAGUCAUCAGCUCGUGUUGAAUACGUCUCUGCCCUUUGUACACACCGCCCGUCGCUACUACCGACUGGAUCAUGCUUCGAAAUGGUAGGACCGAUGACCUCGCUAGGGGACGUUGGAAUAACCCUUAAGAUGUGUGAUCUGAAGGAAGUAAAAGU
rnacentral:rRNA from 1 species